UCUACGGGUGGCAGCAGUGAGGAAUAUUGGUCAAUGGGCGCGAGCCUGAACCAGCCAAGUAGCGUGAAGGAUGACUGCCCUACGGGUUGUAAACUUCUUUUAUAAAGGAAUAAAGUGAGGCAAGUGUGCCUUUUUGUAUGUACUUUAUGAAUAAGGAUCGGCUAACUCCGUGUCAGCAGCCGCGGUAAUACGGAGGAUCCGAGCGUUAUCCGGAUUUAUUGGGUUUAAAGGGAGCGUAAAUGGGUUGUUAAGUCAGUUGUGAAAGUUUGCGGCUCAACCGUAAAAUUGCAAUUGAUACUGGCAGUCUUGAGUACAGUUGAGGUAGGCGGAAUUCGUGGUGUAGCGGUGAAAUGCUUAGAUAUCACGAAGAACUCCGAUUGCGAAGGCAGCUUACUAAACUGCCACUGACAUUGAUGCUCGAAAGUGUGGGUAUCAAACAGGAUUAGAUACCCCAGUAGUC
rnacentral:rRNA from 1 species